ACGAACGCUGGCGGCAGGCUUAACACAUGCAAGUCGAACGGACCCUUCGGGGUUAGUGGCGGACGGGUGAGUAACACGUGGGAACGUGCCUUUAGGUUCGGAACAACACAGGGAAACUUGUGCUAAUACCGAAUGUGCCCUUCGGGGGAAAGAUUUAUCGCCUUUAGAGCGGCCCGCGUCUGAUUAGCUUGUUGGUGGGGUAAAGGCUCACCAAGGCUACGAUCAGUAGCUGGUCUGAGAGGAUGGCCAGCCACAUUGGGACUGAGACACGGCCCAAACUCCUACGGGAGGCAGCAGUGGGGAAUCUUGCGCAAUGGGCGAAAGCCUGACGCAGCCAUACCGCGUGGAUGAUGAAGGUCUUAGGAUUGUAAAAUCCUUUCACCGGGGACGAUAAUGACGGUACCCGGAGAAGAAGCCCCGGCUAACUUCGUGCCAGCCGCCGCGGUAAU
rnacentral:rRNA from 1 species